rnacentral:rRNA from 1 species
GUGGGGAAUCUUGCGCAAUGGGCGAAAGCCUGACGCAGCCAUGCCGCGUGAAUGAUGAAGGUCUUAGGAUUGUAAAAUUCUUUCACCGGGGACGAUAAUGACGGUACCCGGAGAAGAAGCCCCGGCUAACUUCGUGCCAGCAGCCGCGGUAAUACGAAGGGGGCUAGCGUUGCUCGGAAUUACUGGGCGUAAAGGGCGCGUAGGCGGACAGUUUAGUCAGAGGUGAAAGCCCAGGGCUCAACCUUGGAAUUGCCUUUGAUACUGGCUGUCUUGAGUACGGGAGAGGUGAGUGGAACUCCGAGUGUAGAGGUGAAAUUCGUAGAUAUUCGGAAGAACACCAGUGGCGAAGGCGACUCACUGGCCCGUUACUGACGCUGAGGCGCGAAAGCGUGGGGAGCAAACAGGAUUAGAUACCGUGUAGUCC